AUUGAACGCUGGCGGCAUGCUUUACACGUGCAAGUCGAACGGUAACAGGGAGCUUGCUCCGCUGACGAGUGGCGAACGGGUGAGUAAUAUAUCGGAACGUGCCCAAGAGUGGGGGAUAACGUAGCGAAAGUUACGCUAAUACCGCAUACGAUCCCAGGAUGAAAGCAGGGGACCUUCGGGCCUUGUUCUCCUGGAGCGGCCGUUAUCUGAUUAGCUAGUUGGUGAGGUAAAGGCUCACCAAGGCGACGAUAAGUAGCGGGUCUGAGAUGACGACCACCAAGACUGGAACUGAGACACGGUCCAGACUCCGACGGGAGGCAGCAGUGGGGAAUUUUGGACAAUGGGGGCAACCCUGAUCCAGCAAUGCCGCGUGAGGGAAGAAGGCCUUCGGGUUGUAAAGCUCUUUUGUCAGGGAAGAAAAGGGUACGGCUAAUAUCCGUGCCUAAUGACGGUACCUGAAGAAUAAGCACCGGCUAACUACGUGCCAGCCGCCGCCGUAA
rnacentral:rRNA from 1 species